rnacentral:rRNA from 1 species
AUACGUAGGGUGCAAGCGUUAAUCGGAAUUACUGGGCGUAAAGCGUGCGCAGGCGGUUUUGUAAGACAGAGGUGAAAUCCCCGGGCUCAACCUGGGAACUGCCUUUGUGACUGCAAGGCUAGAGUACGGCAGAGGGGGAUGGAAUUCCGCGUGUAGCAGUGAAAUGCGUAGAUAUGCGGAGGAACACCGAUGGCGAAGGCAAUCCCCUGGGCCUGUACUGACGCUCAUGCACGAAAGCGUGGGGAGCAAACAGGAGUAGAUACCCUGGUAGUCCACGCCCUAAACGAUGUCAACUGGUUGUUGGGUCUUCAUUGACUCAGUAACGAAGCUAACGCGUGAAGUUGACCGCCUGGGGAGUACGGCCGCAAGGUUAAAACUCAAAUGAAUUGACGGGG